UAACCUACGGGACGCAGCAGUCGGGAAUAUUGCGCAAUGGAGGAAACUCUGACGCAGUGACGCCGCGUAUAGGAAGAAGGUUUUCGGAUUGUAAACUAUUGUCGUGAGGGAAGAAGAUGACAGUACCUCAGGAGGAAGCUCCGGCUAACUAUGUGCCAGCAGCCGCGGUAAUACAUAGGGAGCAAGCGUUAUCCGGAUUUACUGGGUGUAAAGGGAGAGUAGGUGGCAGAGCAAGUCCGAAGUGAAAACCCAAAGCUCAACUAUGGGAAUGCUUUAGAAACUGCUCAGCUAGAGUGCAGGAGAGG
rnacentral:rRNA from 1 species